rnacentral:lncRNA from 1 species
AGUUAGACACACUUUAUUAGAUUACUCAUAUUAGUCUACCCUAGAGAAGGCUCUGAAAAAUGGAGGGAGUAAUGUAGCAGUCAUGCUUCCUAGAACUAUCAAUUUCCAGAAACAUACUUUGCUUUGCCUAUGAAAAAACAAACAAAAUAUCUUGUCAGAUCAUUAGUUGCAUUUUGAUAUGUGAUUAAUAAAAAAUAGUAAUAAUAAUUAACAACCAUAUUGUGUUUAAAGAUUUGUAAAGUUCUGUACUUUGUGAAGAUUGGAUUUAGCUAUCUCCCAUUGUUACAAUGAAGGUACUUAGCUCUUCCUUUAUUGGGAAAAUUGAAUUGUAAAUCCCUAUCUAUUUUUAGAUUUUAAUCCCCCAAAGUGUUAACUCAGUAUUUAAAGUAGAUCUAUCCAUUUUAACUACAAAAGGUGUGAUCUAACCAAAACAGGUAUGAACACCCAUUUCAUGCAUUGAGUGGAGGUCUGUGACCACCUGUGAAAGAAUGUGUAGCCCUGGAGAGGAGCAUCUGCUGUGAUUGGUAGACAUGAAAUUUAGAGGAGGUGACACAAGAGAAAAAGAUCUUUAAAGAACCACAGAGGCCAGAUAGAUGGAAGAACUCUGAUGUGGAGUUGGCCUGGAGGAUCAGUUUCUUGAGCUUAGGAGAGACUGGAAUACAGACACUCCGACUUAGCUGUGGAACUUGACCCUGGAGGAGUUCGUGCAGGAGACCUCAGACUGCUAUCUUUUUAGGCCGUCACUGUGAUAUAGAGACAGAGAAAGGAAGGAAGGAAAAAAAGAAAGGAGGCAUGGAGUGUGUAGGGACUGGAAUGAAGCUGAAAAUAAAACUCCUUGAGGGAAGGGGCUGUCUUUUGCCUCUCUUUGUAUCCCCAGGCACGUAGCA